AUACGUAGGGGGCGAGCGUUGUCCGGAAUUAUUGGGCGUAAAGGGUGCGUAGGCGGCGAAGCAAGUCAGAUGUGAAAUACCAUGGCUUAACUGUGGGGGUGCAUUUGAAACUGUUUUGCUAGAGUGCAGGAGAGGGAAGCGGAAUUCCUAGUGUAGCGGUGAAAUGCAUAGAUAUUAGGAGGAACACCAGUGGCGAAGGCGGCUUUCUGGACUGUAACUGACACUGAGGCACGAAAGCGUGGGGAGCAAACAGGAUUAGAUACCCUGGUAGUCCACGCUGGAAACGAUGGAUACUAGGUGUAGGGGGUAUAGACUCCCUCUGUGCCGGAGUAAACGCAAUAAGUAUCCCGCCUGGGGAGUACGGCCGCAAGGUUGAAACUCAAAUGAAUUGACGGGG
rnacentral:rRNA from 1 species